GAUGAACGCUAGCGAUAGGCCUAACACAUGCAAGUCGAGGGGCAUCACAAAAGAGUAGCAAUACUUUUGGUGGCGACCGGCGGAUGGGUGAGUAACACGUAUGCAACCUACCUUCUACAUUGGGAUAACCCGUUGAAAGACGGACUAAUACCCCAUAAUACAGGGGCUCCGCAUGGAGAUAUUUGUUAAAGAUUUUUAUCGGUUAGAGAUGGGCAUGCGUGACAUUAGUUAGUUGGUGAGGUAACGGCUCACCAAAACGAUGAUGUCUAGGGGUUCUGAGAGGAUUAUCCCCACACUGGUACUGAGACACGGACCAGACUCCUACGGGAGGCAGCAGUGAGGAAUAUUGGACAAUGGGCGAAAGCCUGAUCCAGCAAUGCCGCGUGAGUGAAGAAGGUCUUCGGAUUGUAAAGCUCUUUUCACGGGUGAAGAUAAUGACGGUAACCCGAGAGAAGCCCCGGCUAACUUCGUGCCAGCAGCCGCGGUAAAUCACGUGUA
rnacentral:rRNA from 1 species